rnacentral:piRNA from 1 species
UCAUUUAGUGUUGUCAGCUUUUAGAAGUUC